rnacentral:misc_RNA from 1 species
GUAGGCUGCGUAUAUGGCAUGAUAGCAGUUUAUCAGAUUACUUCAAAACAAUCCGCCAAACUACGCGACCUUCCUCAAGAUUCUCUCCUCUUCCCUUUACCUCACUUCGAUCAGCAUCUUCAAUGGCGUCACGAGACGAUAAGCCCUCGAAGCCCUCCAGCAGUCGUACUGGCGGUAUUCGAACCCUUUCCGAUCUCAACCGACGCUCGCCUGAUUCUGUCGGCGACCCCGAUGGUCCUCAAGAGUAUUACACGGGUGGUGAGAAGAGUGGGAUGCUUGUCCAAGAUCCUACAAAGGGAAAUGAUGUGGAUU